UACGUAGGGUGCGAGCGUUGUCCGGAAUUACUGGGCGUAAAGCGUGCGCAGGCGGUUUUGUAAGCCAGAUGUGAAAUCCCCGGGCUUAACCUGGGAAUGGCAUUUGGGACUGCAAGGCUCGAGUGCGGCAGAGGAGACUGGAAUUCCUGGUGUAGCAGUGAAAUGCGUAGAUAUCAGGAGGAACACCGAUGGCGAAGGCAGGUCUCUGGGCUGACACUGACGCUCAUGCACGAAGCGUGGGGAGCAAACGAAGGAUUAGAAGUACCCGGGUGAGAUC
rnacentral:rRNA from 1 species